UACGAGGGGGGCAAAUGUUGUUCGGAAUUACUGGGCGUAAAGGGCGCGUAGGUGGCCUUCUAAGUCAGACGUGAAAUCCCCGGGCUCAACCCGGGAACUGCGUCUGAUACUGGAAGGCUCGAAUCCGGGAGAGGGAUGUGGAAUUCCAGGUGUAGCGGUGAAAUGCGUAGAUAUCUGGAGGAACACCGGUGGCGAAGGCGGCAUCCUGGACCGGUAUUGACGCUGAGGCGCGAAAGCCAGGGGAGCAAACGGG
rnacentral:rRNA from 1 species